AAAACGACUCUCGGCAACGGAUAUCUCGGCUCUCGCAUCGAUGAAGAACGUAGCAAAAUGCGAUACUUGGUGUGAAUUGCAGAAUCCCGUGAACCAUCGAGUUUUUGAACGCAAGUUGCGCCUAAAACCAUUAGGUUGAGGGCACGUCUGCCUGGGUGUCUCGC
rnacentral:rRNA from 1 species